ACAAGUCCGAGGGGGCUCAGCGGAGAUGGGCAGCGUCCUCACACCGCAGCGAGAGCCAAUCUAGCUGCUUGCUUGCACCAUUCCACCUCCUACCUCUCCAGCUGUGCCUGCACCUGCGCUUAAGGUCAUUUUUGUGUUUUCCCUUCCAGCUGUAUCUGCUGACCACCCGCACUGCAGACCCCACCACUCAGCCCUGGAUGACCCUUUCAGCCUGCCCCCGGUGGACUCUGGCUUUGCAACCUGGCUCACCCCGCGCUGCCCUUCAGAGCCUCUCUCCACUUUGCUGCGUCUUUAGAAAUCACUUGAGCAUGAAAGCCCUGAGCACAGCCGACUCUCCCUGGAUGUGAAAUUCAAAUGAUCUCCAAAGCUUCCCUGCGACCAUCACUCGCUGCACGCAGUGGUACACGCCACAUGCAGGCAUGGGUCAAGUGAGUCCUGCCUCUCCCACCGGAGGCCAGCCUGCCCUCUCUCUCGCCGUGUGUCCUCCCAGUCCCAGUCCUGGCUGCCAGGAAGACAAAGACCCCGCUGCACGGGCUGCAGGGGACCUCGGCCCUGCGUAGGGUCGGGGCUCCAUGCAGUGAAGGAUAUGGAAUAGUGAAGGGGCUGGUACCAAGCACCACAGCUCCCUCCGGGUCAGCUCUGCUGCCUUGUUCCCACCAAGGAGCUGGCCGGACAUCUUGAACAGCAGUUAUAAUCCAAUGGGCAAGACACGUAGGAACAUGGAGGCAAUGUUUCCUGAAAUGCAACUACUUCUGCAGUGGAAAAGCAUCAGUCAUCACACAGCAGGACUUCUCGGAGGAGAAAUGCUAACUCUUUUUUUUUUUUUUUUUUUUCCUAUUUGAACUGCAGGCUGGAAUAUAGGCCGGCAGAAUGUAAUUAUCCAGGCUGGAAUUUGGCCAAGAUGCUGGGGCUAACAGCCCUACUGUUUCAAAAUAUGCCACAGUACCCUAAAUGAUCACAUCUUGCAGGAUUUGAUUUUGCAUUUCAUCCAAAACAAUGUUGGGAAGGGAGGUCGGUGAGUAGGAUGAGCACAGACUAAUCCCAUCUAUCCCCAUCUCUGUUGAAAAAUCAGCCCAGAAGGGCUCCUGAAAUUUGCUUUCAUUUUCUGUGCAAAGCAGUGAAAGAAUUCAGUGUUUUCAUUCCCUUUGUAAAUUCUCUGCAAGAGGUGUCCAGUCUUUUCAAUGAAAAAUACAUCAGCUUUCAGAAGGGGAAACUUAAAUAAAGAGAAACAUUUUAUUUAAAUAAAUAAAUAAAUGAGGUGUGGGGAGAGAAGAACAUUUCUUUCCUCUUCAAUAAUAUUUUACUCCCAACUUUCAACUCCACACACACACUAAAAAAAAAAUAAAAAAUAAAAAAAUACGUCUGUAAGGAUACAAGAUUAAGAUUGUUAAUGGACAGUCUGUAUUGUCAAACAAAACUAACACCUACAUGAUUCUUUGCAUGCACAACUGUCGACCUCUCCAUUAGAAGGAGAGCUGCACUGAUAGUGGCAGGCUGAAGAACAACUGAGGGUAAAUAAACCUCAGCCAGGACCCAUGCACACACAGCUCGGCCCAACACCAUGCCCCAGAUCCUUGCAAUCUCUCCCCACAUCUUUAUGUAGCUCCAAAUGGUCUCUGUUGUUUUGAAUGCUAUGCAAAUGUUGGCAGAAAGAUGUACACUCUGUUUAAAGACACCACAGAUACAAACACAACCAAAGAUUGUGGAAAGCAGCAUCAGGAUUUGCAGUUUCUCUUUUUUACUUCAGUGAAUAAAGUUGAUUUGCAGAAUAAACUGUGCUUUUAGCUGACUCAAGCUGCUUGCUAGCUCAUGCUGAAUUUGGCCAAUCAUCCCCCACAAGGGAAAAAUAGAAACGGAAAAGGUAAUUUUGAAAAGUCAAAAUGUUUCAUUUUACAUUUUGGAAAAAGAAUAAUUGCAAUUGAUUUUUCGUGUUGAAAUGUUCUUCUCCG